UGAGCCGGGCACGCCAUCGUCUGCCGGAGAGACUGGCUGGAGCAGUUCCAAUAGCAGGAACAUCAGCAGAACCGCAUCAUGCUUUCCCAACCUCCUGUCACAGCAAUUGGAAGCCAAACUGCAGAAUUAUCAUCAAAAUAAAAAAUGAAAGUUUA